UCCGGAGGGUGACCACGUGGGGGUGACCCCCACAGGGGCUGUGGUCUCCAGAGUAUCCCCUUCUUCCCUCAACCUGAAUUCCCACUGCCAGAGGGUAGCCUUAGGUGGGAUAUUUGGAGGGAAUUCCUGGCUGGGAGGGUGGGGAGGGGCUGGGCUGGAAUUCCCAGAUUUGCUGUGGCAGCCCCUGGAUCCCUGGAAGCAUCCAAGGCCAGGCUGGAUGGAUUUGGAUCCACCUGGGAUAGUGGGAGGUGUCCCUGCCCACGGAUGGGGUGGGAAUGGGGUGGGAUUUAUGGUCCUUCCAACCAAAACCAACCAAAAGCAGUUGGGUGAGUGGGUGGAUAAUUUGCCAGGGAGGUGGUUAAGUGGGUGGCUGGGUGGUUGGCUGAAUUGUUCAGUGGUUGGGUGGUUGGUUUGGUGCUCAGGUCAUUGGUUGAGCAGUUGUCUGGUUGAGUGGUUGGGUGGUUGGUUGAUGGGUUGGUUGGUUGGUUGGUUGGUUGGUUGGUUGGUUGGUUGGUUGGUUGAAUGGGUGGGUCACUGGUUGGGUGGCUGCUUGAGCAGUUUGGCCAUUGGUUGGGUGAUUGGUUUGGCAGUUGCGUCACUGGUUGAGCUGUUGGUUGGUCGGUGAGUGCUUGGUUUGGUGUUCAGGACGUUGGUUGGUUCAUUGGUUGACUGGGUCACUGGUGGAGCGGUUGGAUGAUUGAGCAGGUGGUUGGUUGGGUGGUUGUGUGGUUGGUUGUGUGGUUGGUUUGGUGGUCAGGUCUUUGGUGGUGUGGUUGGUUGGGUAGUGAGGUCAUCAGUUGGUUCGGUGAUUGAUUGGAUGGUUGGUUUGGUGGUCAAGUCAUUGGUUGGGUGGUUGGUUGUGUGGUUGGUUGGAUGGUGAGUUGGGUGGUGAGGUCGUUGGUUUGUUGGGUGGUUGGUUGGGUGGAUUAGUUGAGUGGUGAGGUUGUUGGUUGGGUGGUUGGUUGGAUGGUUGUUGGGUGGUCAGGUCAUUGGUUGGGUGGUUGGUUGAGCAGUUGGUUGAGUGGUUGGAUGGUUGGUUUGGCAGUCAGGUCACUGGUUGGUGGUUGGUUGGUUUGGUGGUCAGGUCACUGGUUGGUUGGAUGGUUGGUUUGGUGGUCAGGGCACUGGUUGGGUGGAUGGUUGGUUUGGCGGUCAGGGCACUGGCUGGGUGUAUGGUUGGUUUGGUGGUCAGGGCACUGGCUGAGUGGUUGGUUGAGCGGUUGGUUGGUUGGUUUGGUGGUCAGGUCAUUGGUUGAGUGGUUGGUUGAGCGGUUGGAUGGUUGGUU